CAAACCCCGCGUGACUGGCGAUUAGGGUGCACAGCCUUGUGCGCCCGAGGUGGAUCAACCCACCGGGAAGCGCCGGGGUCUUAUUUGCCGUUCGCCUGGGCAGCCGUG
rnacentral:ncRNA from 1 species